rnacentral:piRNA from 1 species
UGGAUAGACGUGUAUCGGAAACUCGAG